rnacentral:lncRNA from 1 species
AAAAAAAUGUAGUUGAAUUGUCCGAAGCGGGGGAGCGGCGGCGUCCGGCAGCGCGAUGCCUCUUCCCCACGGGGCUCGCCCGGGGCCGCUCGCACCGCGCAGUCGGGGCUCGGUCCCGGGGAGCCGGGGCAGUGCGGGGACGGGGCGAGCAGAGCCCCGGCGGUGAGCGCGCAGAUGACGCGGGGCCGGAGCGGGACGGCUGGGGCGUAAAUCACCGCUCUCUGCAAUGGCCCCAGCGGGGAACCCCGUGCCAUCGCCCCAUUUCGCCAUCCGAAGCGCGGUGCGGUGGCGGCGUGCCUUCAAAUUGAGUCGCUUCUCGGUCCGCGCUGGGAAAAGCAGACAUGUGUCCUCAAUUGUGCCGUAUGAAAAACCCGACUAAGGUACUUUACGAUUCCAUCUGGAGAAAUUAAAAGCCCGGAGCUGUAAUGUUUAUUCUUACAUAGUUUACAAAAAGCAAAAAGAAAAAAAAAAAAAAGAAAAAAAAAAGAAGGAGGGGGGAAAUGUGUGAGACACAUGUCUCCGCAUAGAACCAAAGUGCUUUCCCUUCUGGUUAAAAAGUUGCAUGCAAAUGUUUUCGUUUGAGCUCUCGCCGCCACCUGUACUUCUGCUCGGCGGCGAAACUUUUCCCGGCGCUGGUGCGGAGGCACCGAUAGUCCUUAUUAAUGAAUUAAUUAUUAUUAUGGCUGCUGAAUUGACUUAAAGUGCUUCGGAGGCCAAACUAAUCCAUGUUAAUCAGUUACAAUUAAUUGUGUUUCAGAUGCCGCUUUAAACACGCUUUCCAAGAAAGGGGAGAGAGGAGGCUGCGGGUGGGGAGGGGGACGCUCGGGUGUGCCCCCCCUCACCCCCCUUCCCCCCCUCCCCCCCCCGGCACCACGAGGCUUGGGAGAGCGGCACAGCCCUGUCCCGGUGCCCACGUCGAGGUGCGCAGAGGUGCGAAAGGGGAACUUCGGUGCCAAAGCGCCGCCCGGAGCAGGGGAUGCGAGGUCCCGGAGGAGAUUUCCCUCCGGAGUUUGCGUUGUGCAGAGCGACAAGGAAGCAUCUGGGGGCAGCGAGGCUGAUGUGUGUCCCGCGGAGGGGCCGCACCCCUGCCCGGGGCUGCUGGAGGGGGGAGAGAGAGAAGAAAAGCCCCGCAGGGAGCAGCAGCGUUUGGCUCUGAGAGUGGGGCGAAGUCUUGGAAAACCCCGGGGGGGGGGGGCCGAGCACCGCUUGCCCGAACCCCAGGGGGGAGCCCGCGGUCGGGGUGCCACUCCUCGGCCUUUGCCUUAGGAGUGACUGCCCCCAAAGUGAGGGACGUGAGGAGGGGCGAAGGAUGGAGAGCGGCCGCUCCCCGCCACCCACGCCACGAGGGGUCCCCAAAGGCUGAGCUGCCUAAAGCACAGCGCUGCCCCCCACCCCUACCCCACCAUUCAGUAUGAUUCUUCUUAUCUUUCUUUCCUCUCAUGUGAGUCUGCCAAAUGGCAACUGAGGAACUGGAGUCUGUCCCGUCCUCUCUGGAAAUUGGGUUCUUGGCGAUUAUUUUUUUUUUUUUCACUUUUACUUUUCUCUUCUCCCACUCCGACUCUUAAUGAUUCGCCCUCCUCUGUGUUUUGCUGUCGUUGGUUUUGUUUUCUCAUCUCAUUCACUCCGCUCAGCCUCUGCUGAAGACACCGAAUCGCCCUCGCCCUGCGCCUGCGGACAGACCUCGGUGGAGAGCGGCGGCAGAACCCAACCGCGCAAUUUCUACCUGCAAGGCAGCAGAGUGUACAGCCCCCCACUCCCACCCCGCAUCGAACGCAGCCAUAACUCAAUGCAAACUGCGGGGAGAGGCGUUUUCCACGUGGCAGCAGAUGAUGGAGGAGAUGUCCCACUCCUCUCCGCUGCUCGUACCGCGUGGGGUCGUUCCCUCCGGCUGCGGCGGUGCCGUCCUUCUCGCAGAGGUGCAGGAAACAGAUUCCCACCUUUGGUCUCCCACCGAAGCGAAUUGCUUUUUGGCUCAGCGCUCAUCCUAACCAACUUUCUCCCCCGUGUUUAUUUCACUGGUUGCGGCCGGCAAAGAAAAUCAAAUAAAAUAACGCUGAAACGUGAAAAAAAAAAAAAAAAAAAGAAAAAAA